rnacentral:rRNA from 1 species
AGCACCGGCUAACUCCGUGCCAGCAGCCGCGUAUACGGGGGUGCAAGCGUACUCGGAAUCACUGGGCGUAAAGAGCAUGUAGGCGGGUAAAUAAGUUGGAAGUGAAAUCCUAUAGCUUAACUAUAGAACUGCUUCCAAAACUGUUUACCUAGAGUAUGGGAGAGGUAGAUGGAAUUUCUGGUGUAGGGGUAAAAUCCGUAGAGAUCAGAAGGAAUACCGAUUGCGAAGGCGAUCUACUGGAACAUUACUGACGCUCAGAUGCGAAAGCGUGGGGAGCAAACAGGAUUAGAUACCCUGGUAGUCCACGCCCUAAACGAUGUACACUAGUUGUUGCUAUACUAGAUAUGGCAGUAAUGCAGUUAACACUUUAAGUGUACCGCCUGGGGAGUACGGUCGCAAGAUUAAAACUCAAAGGAAUAGACGGGGACCCGCACAAGCGGUGGAGCAUGUGGUUUAAUUCGACGAUACGCGAAAAACCUUACCUGGCCUUGACAUAGUAGGAACUUUCUAGAGAUAGAUUGGUGCUAGCUUGCUAGAACCUAUAUACAGGUGCUGCACGGCUGUCGUCAGCUCGUGUCGUGAGAUGUUGGGUUAAGUCCCGCAACGAGCGCAACCCACGUGAUUAGUUGCUAACAGUUCGGCUGAGAACUCUAAUCAGACUGCCUUCGUAAGGAGGAGGAAGGUGUGGACGACAUCAAGUCAUCAUGGCCCUUACGGCCAGGGCUACACACGUGCUACAAUGGGAUAUACAAAGAGCCGCAAUACCGCGAGGUGGAGCAAAUCUAGAAAAUAUCUCCCAGUUCGGAUUGUUCUCUGCAACUCGAGAACAUGAAGUUGGAAUCGCUAGUAAUCGUGGAUCAGCAUUGCCACGGUGAAUACGUUCCCGGGUCUUGUACUCACCGCCCGUCACACCAUGGGAGUUGAUUUCAUUCGAAGCGGGGAUGCUAAAGUAGCUACCUUCCACAAUGGGAUUAGCGACUGGGGUGAAGUCGUAACAAGGUAACC